CAGUAGAUAAAUGGAAAAUACAUCGACGUUUGAUAAAUCCUUUGUUUAAAUACGAAAAUAUAAAAGAAAUGUUUUUCCCGGUUUUUCAAGAGAAAUCAAAACUACUAAUUCAGAAUCUACAAAAAGAAAUUUGUAAAACACAACCGUUUGAUAUAUUGGACUAUGCAUCAUAUAUUACUCUUAAUACAGUUUGUCGUAAGUUUUAAAAUCUCUACUACUAUGGAUAUGUUUGAAUGUGGAAUACAUUGUACCAUACUAUUAUACUUGCAGUGAUUACUAUUAGUAAUAUUAUUGAUGUUUUAUUGCCUUUUUAGAAACAACAAUGAAUUACAAUCUCGACUCUCAGGCAGAUAUGGGUUCCAAGAAGAGUGUCAGAAUG